rnacentral:lncRNA from 1 species
GUGUGUGUGUGUGUGUGUGUGUGCUGGUUCUACAGGGUGGCGGCUGCUAGGGAAGAGUAUCUGCAGAGGAGGCAGGAGGCCAGACAGUACAAACUGAGGGCUGAGAAGCAGCUGGUGAGUCUUCCUCACGCUCGGCCUCCGUGGGAUUCGCCAAGCGGAGAGGCGCAGAACUGAUCCGCGGCUGGAUCGCCGUUCCCGUCGUACCGCGGUACGCGCAGAAUUAAUUAUUCGCACGGGAAAAAUGGCUAAAAAAGCCGCUGAGAUCAGCGUUCUCGUGCGUGUCGCCCUCAUCUCCGCGCGCUCACCGCGUUGGUGGUCCGAGGGGUGAGGAAGCGAGGCCUCGCUGCCCCGUUUCCCGUUCGCUCUCUCACUAGCGCCCCCCCGCUCCCUCUGCCACCCAGGGCCUGCGCCCCUCCUCCUCACACCAGCAGAGAGAUGCAGAGCCAGGACAGGGGGUGCCAGCUCUACCACGAAGCCAGUGCCGACGGCCCGGUCCGGUCAGGAAGCGGGAUGACCAGCAGAGCCGAGGAGCGGCGAGACGGCAGCGCCGCCCUCCCGGCAGCGAGACGCCGUGUCCGUUUUCCGGGACGAAUCGUGCGCGCGACGCGUCGGGGAAGCCGGUGCCGAUCCGGUAGCCUACGACGCUCCUGUGCGUAGCGGGGUGCGUAGUGAGAGCGUACCUGUGUGCGCAGGAGUACCUGACGCAGCUGCGGCGCAUCCGGGAGCAGUACCAUCGAGAGGUGCAGGAGAUGAGGAGGAGGGCCGCGGGGGAGGUACGCAGCGCCGCGCCGUGCCGUGCCGUAUUGUGUCUUUACCGCGGUACUCUUGUACCGCAACACCUAGCAGCAGGGAGCAGAGUGGAGGCUGCAGGUUCAGAUCUCACUGGCUGCUGCUCGCGUACCUUUUAGCAAGGUACUUAUUCUGAAUUUAGUUGAGCGGUAGCGUAGUGGUUAGAGCUGCUGCGAUUAGACCCAAAGGUCACGGGUUUGAUUCCCACCUUUGGCUGUAGUACCAUUGUGUAACAUACUUACCCUAAUUACUGUGGUAAAAUUACCCAGGUGUAUAAACAGGUAAACAAUUGUAAGUUGCUUUGGAGAAAAGUGUCACAUAAAGGAGUAACUGUAGGUAUAUAAAUGGGUAAAUCAGUGUAAACACCUUAAAAUUACACAGUAAUUAUGGAAGGAGAGACCAUAACAAUAUUAGGUCUUUCCAUCAGUUUAAGGGCCCAUGAGCACCGGGGGGUUGCUUGGUUUGCGCUCCCUUAACCACUACAUUUGGUCCCCUAUUACAGCUGGUCCUGUAGUGGUUAGAGCUGCGAAGGUUGCUGGUUCAAAUCCCGCCUCCGGCUGUAGUACCCUCGAGCAAGGUACUUUACCCUGAAACCACUCCAGUAAAAUGACCCGGGUGUAUAAAUGGGUAAAUCACAGCAGGCACCUUAACGCCGUCGGUCACUCUGGAGAAACGAACGCCUCGCGGGUCCAUGGGUCCCAGCGGUGACCCCGGGUGAACCCCUGCGCCGCCUGUUCAUCUUCGUCACGCGGUGCAGUGUAUCGGUGGUGUGUGUUAACCUCCCCAGCCCCAGGACGCAGCGAGGGAGCAGCCUUUGGCGGAGAGUCCUCCUGGUCCCGGGGGCGGAGCCCAGAGCCGGCGGAGCGAC